rnacentral:rRNA from 1 species
GGAUUAGAUACCCGGGUAGUCCACGCCGUAAACGAUGGAUACUAGCUGUGGGGGGUAUCGACCCCUUCCGUAGCGAAGCUAACGCGUUAAGUAUCCCGCCUGUGGAGUACGGUCGCAAGACUAAAACAUAAAGGAAUUGACGGGGACCCGCACAAGCGGUGGAUUAUGUUCUUUAAUUCGAUGCUAACCGAAGAACCUUACCAGGGUUUGACAUCCCGAGAAUUUCUCCGAAAGGAGAGAGUACUUUAUUGAACUCGGUGACAGAUGUUGCAUGGCCGUCGUCAGCUCGUGUCGUGAGAUGUUUGGUUAAGUCCAUUAACGAGCGCAACCCUUGCAAGUAGUUGUAUUUUUCUACUUGGACUGCCCCGGCAACGGGGAGGAAGGAGGGGAUGAU